AUUGAACGCUGGCGGCAGGCCUAACACAUGCAAGUCGAACGAGUGGCGGACGGGUGAGUAAUGUCUGGGAAACUGCCUGAUGGAGGGGGAUAACUACUGGAAACGGUAGCUAAUACCGCAUACCAUCAGAUGUGCCCAGAUGGGAUUCGCUUGUGGGGGGGGUAACGGCUCACCAAGGCGAAGACCCCUGGCGGGUCUGGGAGGGUGACGGGCCACACUGGAACUGGGACACGGGCCAAACGCCUACGGGCGGCAGCGGUGGGGAAUAUUGCACAAUGGGCGCAAGCCUGAUGCAGCCAGGCCGCGUGUAUGAGGAGGGCCUUCGGGUUGUAAGGUACUUUCAGCGGGGAGGCGUUACCCGCAGAGGAAGCACCGGCUAACUCCGUGCCAGCCGCCGCGGUAAUUC
rnacentral:rRNA from 1 species